rnacentral:rRNA from 1 species
GAUGAACGCUGGCGGCGUGCCUAAUACAUGCAAGUCGAGCGAACGGACGAGAAGCUUGCUUCUCUGAUGUUAGCGGCGGACGGGUGAGUAACACGUGGAUAACCUACCUAUAAGACUGGGAUAACUUCGGGAAACCGGAGCUAAUACCGGAUAAUAUUUUGAACCGCAUGGUUCAAAAGUGAAAGACGGUCUUGCUGUCACUUAUAGAUGGAUCCGCGCUGCAUUAGCUAGUUGGUAAGGUAACGGCUUACCAAGGCAACGAUGCAUAGCCGACCUGAGAGGGUGAUCGGCCACACGGGAACUGAGACACGGUCCAGACUCCUAAGGGAGGCAGCAGUAGGGAAUCUUCCGCAAUGGGCGAAAGCCUGACGGAGCAACGCCGCGUGAGUGAUGAAGGUCUUCGGAUCGUAAAACUCUGUUAUUAGGGAAGAACAUAUGUGUAAGUAACUGUGCACAUCUUGACGGUACCUAAUCAGAAAGCCACGGCUAACUACGUG